GACGAACGCUGGCGGCGUGCUUAACACAUGCAAGUCGAACGGUGAUCUUGAGAGCUUGCUCUUGGGUGAUCAGUGGCGAACGGGUGAGUAACACGUGAGUAACCUGCCCCUGGCUCUGGAAUAACUUCGGGAAACCGAAGCUAAUACCGGAUAUGACACAGAAUCGCAUGGUUUCUGUGUGGAAAGUUUUUCGGUUGGGGAUGGACUCGCGGCCUAUCAGCUUGUUGGUGAGGUAAUGGCUCACCAAGGCGACGACGGGUAGCCGGCCUGAGAGGGCGACCGGCCACACUGGGACUGAGACACGGCCCAGACUCCUACGGGAGGCAGCAGUGGGGAAUAUUGCACAAUGGGCGAAAGCCUGAUGCAGCGACGGCGCGUGAGGGAUGAAGGCCUUCGGGUUGUAAACCUCUUUCAGUAGGGAAGAAGCGCAAGUGACGGUACCUACAGAAGAAGCACCGGCUAACUACGUGCCAGCCGCCGCGGUAACAC
rnacentral:rRNA from 1 species